rnacentral:lncRNA from 1 species
GCCGCGGCAUGUCUGCCUCUCUACUGCUCUGGGAGGAGGAAGAGAAGGAGGAAGAGGAGGAGGAGGAGGGGGAGGAAGAGGAGAAAGGCGCAGGGGUGGGAGCUGUUGCCGAAGCUGCCACAGUAAAAGUUCUCCCCCCUCCCCCUUUCCCCUCCUCUCACGGCCCCAAGGAAGGUUGAAGCUGCCACCGCCUGCAGUCGGUGACCGCGCGACUCGGCGCCCGCCCGCGGAUAGAGGGGAGCAAUCAGCAGCUUGGAAAUUCAGUCAAGUGAUCUGGCGGGAUGGGCAUUUGCCUGACAUAUUUUAUAGAGGUAAUCAGCAUUGUUUUACUCAAUCUUUAGUUUUUAGUUUAUGUUCA